rnacentral:lncRNA from 1 species
UCUGUGCUCCAUCUGCUUUAAACUGCUCCUCAUCAGCUCCCAAUGGGAAAUAGCAGUGUGACGAGGUCUCACUAUAAAAGGACUAAAAAUCCAACAAGAACAUACAGUUGUAUCACAGAAGCAAAGGAACUAACUCAAUGUUUCAACAUAAAAGAGAAAACGUUCGUCUACCUCUGGCCUAGGGUUGCUGGGCCAGGGACACUGUGCACACCCCUCUAUUGCAGUCCUGUGGGACAUCUUGGAAAAGCUGCCUGUCCCCUCACAGAGAAGCAGAGGAGAACUAUGAAGAAGGAUGCUCUGAGCACAGGCUGGGCCCUUGGAACUAUUUUUAGUUAAGGCACCAGCCAGUUGGACAGUAAUGUAUACAGAAACUGACAGUAUGGUGGAAAUGAAU